rnacentral:rRNA from 1 species
GGAGGAAAAGAAACUAACAAGGAUUCCCCUAGUAGCGGCGAGCGAAGCGGGAAGAGCUCAAAUUUAUAAUCUGGCACCUUCGGUGUCCGAGUUGUAAUCUCUAGAAAUGUUUUCCGCGUUGGACCGCACACAAGUCUGUUGGAAUACAGCGGCAUAGUGGUGAGACCCCCGUAUAUGGUGCGGACGCCCAGCGCUUUGUGAUACAUUUUCGAAGAGUCGAGUUGUUUGGGAAUGCAGCUCAAAUUGGGUGGUAAAUUCCAUCUAAAGCUAAAUAUUGGCGAGAGACCGAUAGCGAACAAGUACCGUGAGGGAAAGAUGAAAAGCACUUUGGAAAGAGAGUUAACAGUACGUGAAAUUGUUGGAAGGGAAACGCUUGAAGUCAGACUUGCUUGCCGAGCAAUCGGUUUGCAGGCCAGCAUCAGUUUUCCGGGAUGGAUAAUGGUAGAGAGAAGGUAGCAGUUUCGGCUGUGUUAUAGCUCUCUGCUGGAUACAUCUUGGGGGACUGAGGAACGCAGUGUGCCUUUGGCGGGGGUUUCGACCUCUUCACACUUAGG